GAACAUUAGCUUUUAUUUAUAGCACGUGCAAUUUGUAUGUGGCCACUUUAUGUGUUGCAUGUGCAUUGGAAAAGGCAUGGACAGAGAUGAUUAUGCGCGCUGCGGUUGUGUACCGCCGGGAUAUAUCCCCCAAAACCAGUAGGCAUUAGCCUGACUGGGGUUACGCUCCUGCGGUGACGACUGAGGGGCGCGCCCAGUGGUGACGACCAUGGGUGAGAUUAUAUAUGUAUUUAUAUAUAUGUACGUAUGGCUAUAGCCAAGUGUAUCAGAUAUGACUUAUGGUCACCGGACUCAGCUACAGACUGGUAAAGGUAAAGAGGUAGCAGGUGGGGAGUCAAGCAAGAAGGAUGGGUAGACAUGUGCGCGUGCGGGUCCCCUCUUGAUUUAAAGGGUCUUGGGAAGUUGUGAUGGUAGAUGUGUAGACUUUAUUUUGUGUGUAAUGUAACUUAAAGAAAAGUCAUGCUGUAAUCCUUGGAAGUAUUUAUCUUGGGUUUGAGUUUGAUGAUGGCAGGUGUAUGCAUGCUUGUGGCUAA